UGAGGAAUAUUGGGCAAUGCCCGAAAGGGUGACCCAGCAACGCCGCGUGGAGGAUGAAGGUCGUAAGAUUGUAAACUCCUGUUAGAGGGGAAGAAUAACUAAGUUUGGAGCUUAGUAUGACUGUACCCUCAGAGAAAGCCCCGGCUAACUACGUGCCAGCAGCCGCGGCAAUACGUAGGGGGCAAGCGUUGUCCGGAUUUACUGGGUGUAAAGGGCGCGCAGGCGGAAUGGAAAGUCAGUGGUGAAAUCCUACAGCUUAACUGUAGAACUGCCUUUGAUACUUUCAUUCCUGAGUUCGGGAGAGAGAGACGGGAUUCCAGGUGUAGUGGUGAAAUACGUAGAUAUCUGGAAGAACACCAGUUGCGAAGGCGGUCUCUUGGUCCGAUACUGACGCUGAGGCGCGAAAGCGUGGGGAGCAAACA
rnacentral:rRNA from 1 species